CUGCAGUCGAGCGGUAACAGGGGUAGCUUGCUACCCGCUGACGAGCGGCGGACGGGUGAGUAAUGCAUAGGAAUCUGCCCGGUAGUGGGGGAUAACCUGGGGAAACCCAGGCUAAUACCGCAUACGUCCUACGGGAGAAAGGGGGCUCCGGCUCCCGCUAUUGGAUGAGCCUAUGUCGGAUUAGCUAGUUGGUGAGGUAAAGGCUCACCAAGGCAACGAUCCGUAGCUGGUCUGAGAGGAUGAUCAGCCACAUCGGGACUGAGACACGGCCCGAACUCCUACGGGAGGCAGCAGUGGGGAAUAUUGGACAAUGGGGGCAACCCUGAUCCAGCCAUGCCGCGUGUGUGAAGAAGGCCUUCGGGUUGUAAAGCACUUUCAGCGAGGAAGAACGCCUAGUGGUUAAUACCCAUUAGGAAAGACAUCACUCGCAGAAGAAGCACCGGCUAACUCCGUGCCAGCAGCCGCGGUAAUACGGAGGGUGCAAGCGUUAAUCGGAAUUACUGGGCGUAAAGCGCGCGUAGGUGGCUUGAUAAGCCGGUUGUGAAAGCCCCGGGCUCAACCUGGGAACGGCAUCCGGAACUGUCAAGCUAGAGUGCAGGAGAGGAAGGUAGAAUUCCCGGUGUAGCGGUGAAAUGCGUAGAGAUCGGGAGGAAUACCAGUGGCGAAGGCGGCCUUCUGGACUGACACUGACACUGAGGUGCGAAAGCGUGGGUAGCAAACAGGAUUAGAUACCCUGGUAGUCCACGCCGUAAACGAUGUCGACCAGCCGUUGGGUGCCUAGCGCACUUUGUGGCGAAGUUAACGCGAUAAGUCGACCGCCUGGGGAGUACGGCCGCAAGGUUAAAACUCAAAUGAAUUGACGGGGGCCCGCACAAGCGGUGGAGCAUGUGGUUUAAUUCGAUGCAACGCGAAGAACCUUACCUACUCUUGA
rnacentral:rRNA from 1 species